GUGUACCAGUUGUUCUGCCAAGAGCACCGCUGGGUAGCUACGUAUGGAUUAGAUAAUCGCUGAAAGCAUCUAAGUGAGAAACUAACCUCGAGAUGAGAUUUCCCAUUCGUCAGAAGUAAGACCCCUGAGAGACGAUCAGGUAGAUAGGCUAGAAGUGGAAGUGUAGUGAUGCAUGGAGCGGACUAGUACUAAUAGGUCGAGGACUUAACCAAG
rnacentral:rRNA from 1 species